rnacentral:rRNA from 1 species
UGAUCCAGACUUUGAUUAUGGCUCAGGACGAACGCUGGCGGCGCGCCUAACACAUGCAAGUCGAACGGAGCUUAAAGAAGCUUGCUUUUUUAAGCCUAGUGGCGGACGGGUGAGUAACACGUGAGCAACCUGCCUUUCAGAGGGGGAUAACGUUUGGAAACGAACGCUAAUACCGCAUAACAUUGCUUUGAGGCAUCUUAAGGCAAUCAAAGGAGUAAUCCGCUGAAAGAUGGGCUCGCGUCCGAUUAGAUAGUUGGCGAGGGUAGCGGCCCACCAAGUCGACGAUCGGUAGCCGGACUGAGAGGUUGAACGGCCACAUUGGGACUGAGACACGGCCCAGACUCCUACGGGAGGCAGCAGUGGGGAAUAUUGCACAAUGGGGGGAACCCUGAUGCAGCGACGCCGCGUGAGGGAAGAAGGUUUUCGGAUUGUAAACCUCUGUCUUUGGUGACGAAAGAUGACGGUAGCCAAAGAGGAAGCUACGGCUAACUACGUGCCAGCAGCCGCGGUAAUACGUAGGUGGCAAGCGUUGUCCGGAAUUACUGGGUGUAAAGGGAGCGUAGGCGGGAAGACAAGUUGAAUGUUUAAACUAUCGGCUCAACCGAUAAUCGCGUUCAAAACUGUAUUUCUUGAGUGAAGUAGAGGCAGGCGGAAUUCCUAGUGUAGCGGUGAAAUGCGUAGAUAUUAGGAGGAACACCAGUGGCGAAGGCGGCCUGCUGGGCUUUAACUGACGCUGAGGCUCGAAAGCGUGGGUAGCAAACAGGAUUAGAUACCCUGGUAGUCCACGCUGUAAACGAUGAUUACUAGGUGUGGGGGGACUGACCCCUUCCGUGCCGCAGUCAACACAAUAAGUAAUCCACCUGGGGAGUACGGCCGCAAGGUUGCAACUCAAAUGAAUUGACGGA